UGUUCUGUGGCUUAAUUGGUUAGAGCGCCGAUCUAAUAAAUACGGAGUCGUGGGUUCGAAUCCCACCAGAACGU